rnacentral:rRNA from 1 species
UACAGAGGGUGCGAGCGUUAAUCGGAAUUACUGGGCGUAAAGCGUGCGCAGGCGGCUCCUUAAGUCAGAUGUGAAAGCCCCGGGCUUAACCUGGGAACUGCGUUUGAAACUGGGGGGCUAGAGUGUGGAAGAGGGGGGUGGAAUUCCAGGUGUAGCAGUGAAAUGCGUAGAGAUCUGGAGGAACACCGAUGGCGAAGGCAGCCCCCUGGGCUAACACUGACGCUCAUGCACGAAAGCGUGGGGAGCAAACAGG